GACAGAGGUGCCGAGCGUUAGGCGGAAUCACUGGGCUUAAAGCGUGUGUAGGCGGGUUUCUAAGUACCUUGUGAAAUCCCAUGGCUCAACCAUGGAACUGCUUGGUAUACUGGGAAUCUUGAGCCACUUAGGGGCUACCGGAACAAAUGGUGGAGCGGUGAAAUGCGUAGAUAUCAUUUGGAACGCCAAUGGUGAAAACAGGUAGCUGGGAGUGUGCUGACGCUGAGACACGAAAGCCAGGGGAGCGAACAGG
rnacentral:rRNA from 1 species